rnacentral:rRNA from 1 species
UAGGGAAUCUUGGACAAUGGGCGAAAGCCUGCUCCAGCCAUGCCGCGUGAGUGAUGAAGGCCUUAGGGUUGUAAAGCUCUUUCGCCAGGGAAGAUAAUGACGGUACCUGGAUAAGAAGCCCCGGCUAACUUCGUGCCAGCAGCCGCGGUAAUACGAAGGGGGCUAGCGUUGUUCGGAAUUACUGGGCGUAAAGCGCACGUAGGCGGCUUUCCAAGUUGGAGGUGAAAUCCCCGGGCUUAACCCGGGAACUGCCUCCAAAACUGAAAGGCUAGAGUCCGAGAGAGGUGAGUGGAAUUUCCAGUGUAGAGGUGAAAUUCGUAGAUAUUGGAAAGAACACCAGUGGCGAAGGCGGCUCACUGGCUCGGUACUGACGCUGAGGUGCGACAGCGUGGGGAGCAAACA